CCAUUUCUAAACCCAAUCCAGCCCCUACUCAUUUCUUCUUUUCUUCUACACCAAAUCCCUAUCCAUUUCUUCCACCCAUUUCUUCUACAGCAAAUCAGAAGCGAAAAGGAAAUUCUAAACCCAAUCCAGCCCCUACCCAUUUCUUGUUUUCUUCUACACCAAAUCCCUACCCAUUUCUUCCACCUAUUUCUUCUACAGCAAAUCAGACACGAAAAGGAAAACAGGAACAAUGGAUCAGAGGCAAGAAUCAUAGGCGAGAGACAAGAAAAAAUGGCGAGUCCGAUGACAGUGAAGAUGAAGAUGAAUCUAUCUUGAACACUCAAACCUAAAGGAAAAGAUUGCUUCAGUUUGUCUGCUUUCUCCGAGUAAAACACACACAAUACAGUGAGAAGGAAGUCCAUCUUGUGAAUCUGCUUAGGGAUUUACAUGGGUUGAAGUGUCAUUUUACAAA